CCGCAGCCUAAGCGCCCCGCAAGGGAAGUUAGGACAGGGAUCAGUCGGUGAGUGCCCUGGCUCCAAUCAACCCCGACAG
rnacentral:sRNA from 1 species